rnacentral:rRNA from 1 species
GCAGUCGGACGGGAUUUGGGAGCUUGCUCCUAAUGAGAGUGGCGCACGGGUGCGUAACACGUAUGUAACCUACCCUUAUCAGGGGGAUAGCCUCUCGAAAGAGAGAUUAAGCCCGCAUAAUAUGAAGACACAGCAUUGUGAUUUCAUCAAAUAUUUAUAGGAUAAGGAUGGGCAUGCGGAACAUUAGCUAGUUGGUAAGGUAAUGGCUUACCAAGGCUACGAUGUUUAGGGGAUCUGAGAGGAUGACCCCCCACACUGGUACUGAGACACGGACCAGACUCCUACGGGAGGCAGCAGUAAGGAAUAUUGGUCAAUGGGCGGAAGCCUGAACCAGCCAUGCCGCGUGCAGGAAGACGGCCCUACGGGUUGUAAACUGCUUUUGUACCGGAAUAAACCUCAUUAUGUAUAAUGAGCUGAAUGUACGGUAAGAAUAAGGAUCGGCUAACUCCGUGCCAGCAGCCGCGGUAAUACGGAGGAUCCAAGCGUUAUCCGGAUUUAUUGGGUUUAAAGGGUGCGUAGGCGGCCUGUUAAGUCAGGGGUGAAAGACGGUAGCUCAACUAUCGCAGUGCCCUUGAUACUGAUGGGCUUGAAUGUACUUGAGGUAGGCGGAAUGUGACAAGUAGCGGUGAAAUGCAUAGAUAUGUCACAGAACACCAAUUGCGAAGGCAGCUUACUAAAGUAUGAUUGACGCUGAGGCACGAAAGCGUGGGGAUCAAACAGGAUUAGAUACCCUGGUAGUCCACGCCCUAAACGAUGAAUACUCGAUGUUAGCGAUAUACAGUUAGCGUCAAAGCGAAAGCGUUAAGUAUUCCACCUGGGGAGUACGCCCGCAAGGGUGAAACUCAAAGGAAUUGACGGGGGCCCGCACAAGCGGAGGAGCAUGUGGUUUAAUUCGAUGAUACGCGAGGAACCUUACCCGGGCUUGAAAGUUAGUGAAUGAUACAGAGACGUAUCAGUCCUUCGGGACACGAAACUAGGUGCUGCAUGGCUGUCGUCAGCUCGUGCCGUGAGGGGUUGGGGUUAAGUC